GGUAUUAGUAUAUACUCUUCUCUCCUAACUCGUCUAACUCGUGUGCCAUCUUUAAUCGGAUCGUGGCAGGGAUCUAAAGGAACUUCAUAAAACAUUGUCGAACAUUGAAAAAUCAGUAGGAAAUAUAAACUGCUGGUAUCGAUGAUCUGCCAUAAAUAUAAAAGAAACUUGGCAUUUUUUAUGAGAUGUCCUACAUGAGAGGAGAGAAGAAAAGGGCAAACGACAGGAAGGAUGCACAGCAAGGAGGCUAAAACCAAAGUUGCAAUAGUUUUUAGUCAUUAGUUGCUAAUUUGUAGUUUAUAGUUUAUAGUUUUAGUUUUUAGAGAUAGAAUAAUUAAGGGAGUGCAAUAGAAUAGAGUGGAAAAGAGGGGAGGUAGACAUAUAAGAAGAGAAAUAGACAUAAGAGAUGUAAAACCGAAAGUUCGUCCAAAGCCGAAAGGCACGGACUAAGCAAUAAUAAAAAAAAAUAAAUAAAUAAAUAAAUAAAAUAUGAGAUGUCCUAAUAUUGAAAAUUUGGAGAAAAAUCUCAGAAGUCUGAUUAAAAUAAUAGAAUAAUUUUAAAACAAAAGACAUGGAAAUUGUGUUUUUCUUAUUAUCACCCGUCGUUAACCGAGAUAUCGCCGAUGACGCGUAAGAGAUAACAAAGACGCUCGCUCUGGCGAAUCAGUUUCGGCUAAUGGUGGGGUUAACUCUGCAUCUAUUAACGAAGCAAGAAAUGCGUCUAUUAACGAGGCAAUACUAUACUUGACAUAAUACAGUAAAGACUACUCAAUGCUGAGUUCAUCGGCAGUGAAAGGAUACUUUUGUGAGCAACAAAUAACGUAUGACGAACUCGUCAGCGAACACCGCAGCUAGGCGUUACAUCUGAAGAUUUACUCGCCAAAGAUCUGCUCGUAUCUGGCUCGCGAAUUGUCAGCUCUAGUAUGAAUACAAUGAUAUUUCUGUUUAUGAAUAGUCUGUAGCAGCUCGCGAAUUGAUCGUGAACUGCUGGCAAAUAGUUCUGGCCAAUUGUGAAUCCAAUAUAUCUGCUACGGAACAGCCAGCAAGUACGAUUGGUAAACACAACUCUUCAAGAUGUGAAGGUGACACAGAUCUUGAAAAGGAAAAAAUUACUCGCUUGACUGAUCCCCCCUUGAGAGAGCCCCGACCCCAUUUAUGGGGAUGCAACAAUUAAAAUACAGUCCUUUGUGAACAUUUGGAGUCUUGUUGAUAAUAUUUAUGUUAUAAAAAGAUACCAACAUAACAUUUUCUAGAAACUAUUUUUCAUGUUGAAAUGCAAUACUUUUCAAUUCUUCAAUAUUUUAGAUAUAAAAAUAAACUCUUCUUUUAAUUACAAUACUUAGUAUACAAUGUAAUUAUUUAUAAAUUAUAAAUUAUAAAUAAAUUAUAAACUAUUUUAUUAAUUUUAAUAUUUUUAAUACAUCUCAAUAA